rnacentral:rRNA from 1 species
UUCCUACGGGGGGCUGCAGUGGGGAAUUUUGGACAAUGGGGGCAACCCUGAUCCAGCCAUCCCGCGUGUGCGAUGAAGGCCUUCGGGUUGUAAAGCACUUUUGGCAGGGAAGAAAAGUUUCGGGCUAAUACCCUGGAGCGAUGACGGUACCUGCAGAAUAAGCACCGGCUAACUACGUGCCAGCAGCCGCGGUAAUACGUAGGGUGCAAGCGUUAAUCGGAAUUACUGGGCGUAAAGCGUGCGCAGGCGGUUCGGAAAGGAAGGUGUGAAAACCCAGGGCUUAACCUUGGAACUGCAUUUUUAACUGUCGAACUCGAGUAUGUCAGAGGGGGGUAGAAUUCCACGUGUAGCAGUGAAAUGCGUAGAGAUGUGGAGGAAUACCGAUGGCGAAGGCAGCCCCCUGGGAUAAUACUGACGCUCAUGCACGAAAGCGUGGGGAGCAAACAGGAUUAGAUACCCUAGUAGUCU